UGGGAUUAUAGGCGUGAGCCACUGUGCCUGGCCUCAUGCACUUUUCAUUAUAUUUUGCAAUUUACAAAGUUAUGUAGGAGGUGGAAUUCUGGUUUCUGCUGGGGAUGUACAGAGCUUGUCACUCCCACUCUCACAAGAAUAAAGCCAGACAAACCGUAAGUUCUCGACUUUGCUUCAUCCCAUCAGAGACCUGAGGCUGCAGGACAACCAACUGGAAGCUGGGGAGAGACAGGGCCUGCAGGGGAAUGGCAUUGAGCCCUCCCGUCCCUGGGGCAGUCACGGGGCAUCGUUGGCACCCUGAGGCACGGACUUGAAAAAAUGCAUUGAUUCAAGAUGGAAUAAACCGAGUAGGUUUCAGAACAGCCACCCUUGGCCUGGACAGUGCAAGAGCUGCAGAGUGUCACCUCACAGGGCCAGCGGCGACCCAAGACACGGGUGCCUGGAAAGGGGGCUCUCUGCGGGGACAGGGCUCAGAAAGGCUGGACCUGUCCUGAACCACAGAAACAGGGUUCCCUGAACCUCGGCCAUCGUCUACCAUUACGGCGCCCUGUCCAGAUAUAAAGUCAGAAAAUCUCAGAUGCACAAACAUUUUGAAGUAAAAGAUAGUUUCUAAACCAUUACUCAAACCAAUAAAACGUGAAGU
rnacentral:lncRNA from 1 species